rnacentral:rRNA from 1 species
GACGAACGCUGGCGGCGUGCCUAAUACAUGCAAGUAGAACGCUGAAGAGAGGAGCUUGCUCUUCUUGGAUGAGUUGCGAACGGGUGAGUAACGCGUAGGUAACCUGCCUUGUAGCGGGGGAUAACUAUUGGAAACGAUAGCUAAUACCGCAUAACAAUGGAUGACACAUGUCAUUUAUUUGAAAGGAGCAAUUGCUCCACUACAAGAUGGACCUGCGUUGUAUUAGCUAGUAGGUGAGGUAAUGGCUCACCUAGGCGACGAUACAUAGCCGACCUGAGAGGGUGAUCGGCCACACUGGGACUGAGACACGGCCCAGACUCCUACGGGAGGCAGCAGUAGGGAAUCUUCGGCAAUGGGGGCAACCCUGACCGAGCAACGCCGCGUGAGUGAAGAAGGUUUUCGGAUCGUAAAGCUCUGUUGUAAGUCAAGAACGGGUGUGAGAGUGGAAAGUUCACACUGUGACGGUAGCUUACCAGAAAGGGACGGCUAACUACGUGCCAGCAGCCGCGGUAAUACGUAGGUCCCGAGCGUUGUCCGGAUUUAUUGGGCGUAAAGCGAGCGCAGGCGGUUUGAUAAGUCUGAAGUUAAAGGCUGUGGCUCAACCAUAGUUCGCUUUGGAAACUGUCAAACUUGAGUGCAGAAGGGGAAGAUUGGAUUUCCAUGUGUAGCGGUGAAAUGCGUAGAUAUAUGAAGGACCACCGGUGGCGAAAAGCGGCUCUCUGGCUUGGUAACUGACGCUGAGGCUCGGAAGCGUGGGGAGCGAACAGGAUUAGAUACCCUGGUAGUCCACGCCGUAAACGAUGAGUGCUAGGUGUNGGAUCCUUUCCGGGAUUCAGUGCCGCAGCUACGCAUUUAAGCACUCCGCCUGGGGAGUACGACCGCAAGGUUGAAACUCAAAGGAAUUGACGGGGGCCCGCACAAGCGGUGGAGCAUGUGGUUUAAUUCGAAGCAACGCGAAGAACCUUACCAGGUCUUGACAUCCCGAUGCUAUUUCUAGAGAUAGAAAGUUACUUCGGUACAUCGGUGACAGGUGGUGCAUGGUUGUCGUCAGCUCGUGUCGUGAGAUGUUGGGUUAAGUCCCGCAACGAGCGCAACCCCUAUUGUUAGUUGCCAUCAUUCAGUUGGGCACUCUAGCGAGACUGCCGGUAAUAAACCGGAGGAAGGUGGGGAUGACGUCAAAUCAUCAUGCCCCUUAUGACCUGGGCUACACACGUGCUACAAUGGUUGGUACAACGAGUUGCGAGUCGGUGACGGCGAGCUAAUCUCUUAAAGCCAAUCUCAGUUCGGAUUGUAGGCUGCAACUCGCCUACAUGAAGUCGGAAUCGCUAGUAAUCGCGGAUCAGCACGCCGCGGUGAAUACGUUCCCGGGCCU